rnacentral:rRNA from 1 species
CCUACGGGAGGCAGCAGUGGGGAAUAUUGCACAAUGGGGGAAACACUGAAGCAGCGAAGCCGCGUGGAGGAAGAAGGUUUUCGGAUUGUAAACUUCUUUUAUCAGGGACGAGAAUGACGGUACCUGAAGAAAAAGCUCCGGCUAACUACGUGCCAGCAGCCGUGGUAAUACGUAGGGAGCGAGCGUUGUCCGGAAUUACUGGGUGUUAAGGGAGCGUAGGGGGGACGGCAAGUCAGAUGUGAAAACUUAGGGCUCAACUUUCAAACUGCAUUUGAAACUGGGGUACGUGAGUGCAGUAGAGGUACGCGGAAUUCCUAGUGUAGCGGUGAAAUGCGUAGAUAUUAGGAGGAACAUCGGUGGCGAAGGCGGCUUACUGGGCUUUUACUGACGCUGAGGCUCGAAAGCGUGGGGAGCAAACAGGAUUAGAUACCCGUGUAGUC